rnacentral:rRNA from 1 species
GAGUUUGAUCAUGGCUCAGAUCGAACGCUGGCGGCAUGCCUAACACAUGCAAGUCGAACGGGAGUAGCAAUACUCUAGUGGCGGACGGGUGAGGAAUACAUAGGAAUUUGCCCUUAAGUGGGGGAUAGUCCGGGGAAACUCGGUUUAAUACCGCAUGAUCUCGUGAGAGCAAAGCAGGGGACCGCAAGGCCUUGCGCUUUUGGAGAAGCCUAUGUCGGAUUAGCUAGUUGGUGAGGUAAUGGCUCACCAAGGCGACGAUCCGUAACUGGUCUGAGAGGAUGAUCAGUCACACCGGAACUGAGACACGGUCCGGACUCCUACGGGAGGCAGCAGUGGGGAAUAUUGGACAAUGGGCGAAAGCCUGAUCCAGCAAUGCCGCGUGUGUGAAGAAGGCCUUCGGGUUGUAAAGCACUUUAGGUUGGGAAGAAAAAAUUCGGGCGAAUAUCCCGAGUCUUGACGGUACCGACAGAAUAAGCACCGGCUAACUCUGUGCCAGCAGCCGCGGUAAUACG